UACGUAGGGUGCGAGCGUUGUCCGGAAUUACUGGGCGUAAAGAGUUCGUAGGCGGUGUGUCGCGUCGGCCGUGAAAACCUGCAGCUUAACUGUGGGCUUGCGGUCGAUACGGGCAUCACUGGAGUUCGGCAGGGGAGACUGGAAUUCCUGGUGUAGCGGUGAAAUGCGCAGAUAUCAGGAGGAACACCGGUGGCUAAGGCGGGUCUCUGGGCCGAUACUGACGCUGAGGAGCGAAAGCGUGGGGAGCGAACAGG
rnacentral:rRNA from 1 species